CCUACGGGCGGCUGCAGUGGGGAAUAUUGCACAAUGGGCGCAAGCCUGAUGCAGCCAUGCCGCGUGUGUGAAGAAGGCCUUCGGGUUGUAAAGCACUUUCAGCGGGGAGGAAGGCGUUAAGGUUAAUAACCUUGGCGAUUGACGUUACCCGCAGAAGAAGCACCGGCUAACUCCGUGCCAGCAGCCGCGGUAAUACGGAGGGUGCAAGCGUUAAUCGGAAUUACUGGGCGUAAAGCGCACGCAGGCGGUCUGUCAAGUCGGAUGUGAAAUCCCCGGGCUCAACCUGGGAACUGCAUGCGAAACUGGCAGGCUAGAGUCUUGUAGAGGGGGGUAGAAUUCCAGGUGUAGCGGUGAAAUGCGUAGAGAUCUGGAGGAAUACCGGUGGCGAAGGCGGCCCCCUGGACAAAGACUGACGCUCAGGUGCGAAAGCGUGGGGAGCAAACAGGAUUAGAUACCCUAGUAGUC
rnacentral:rRNA from 1 species